CCCUUAGAUGUUCUGGGCCGCACGCGCGCUACACUGAUGCAUUCAACGAGUUUCUUCCUGGUCCGAGAGGAAUGGGUAACCUUUUGAAAGUGCAUCGUGAUAGGGAUAGACUAUUGUAAUUAUUGGUCUUCAACGAGGAAUUCCUAGUAGACGUAGUUCAUCAGACUGCAUCGAUUACGUCCCUGCCCUUUGUACACACCGCCCGUCGCUCCUACCGAUUGAAUGCUCAGGUGAGCCAUUCGGACUUUCAUCAUGCUGGUUUCCAGUUUUGAUGAAGGAAAGUCUUGCGAACCUUAUCAUUUAGAGGAAGGAGAAGUCGUAACA
rnacentral:rRNA from 1 species